rnacentral:hammerhead_ribozyme from 1 species
GCAUUUCUGAAGAGUCCCAUACUAGGAUGAAACGGCCGUCUAGUGC